CUUAACUUGGAGUCCGAACUCUCACUUUCUAACCCUGUGCACUUGUUUGGGAUAGUAACUCUCGCAAGAGAGCGAACUCCUAUUCACUUAUAAACACAAAGUCUAUGAAUGUAUUAAAUUUUAUAACAAAAUAAAACUUUCAACAACGGAUCUCUUGGCUCUCGCAUCGAUGAAGAACGCAGCGAAAUGCGAUAAGUAAUGUGAAUUGCAGAAUUCAGUGAAUCAUCGAAUCUUUGAACGCACCUUGCGCUCCAUGGUAUUCCGUGGAGCAUGCCUGUUUGAGUGUCAUGAAUACUUCAACCCUCCUCUUUCUUAAUGAUUGAAGAGGUGUUUGGUUUCUGAGCGCUGCUGGCCUUUACGGUCUAGCUCGUUCGUAAUGCAUUAGCAUCCGCAAUCGAACUUCGGAUUGACUUGGCGUAAUAGACUAUUCGCUGAGGAAUUCUAGUCUUCGGAUUAGAGCCGGGUUGGGUUAAAGGAAGCUUCUAAUCAGAAUGUCUACAUUUUAAGAUUAGAUCUCAAAUCAGGUAGGACUACCCGCUGAACUUAAGCAUAUCAAUAA
rnacentral:rRNA from 1 species